AACUAAACCUGAUUGCAGCGGAAAACCCACAGCGAAAUAGGGAAAUGUGUAUUGGAGCGUGGAUUUGUAGCGGAAAGCAGGACUGCCA
rnacentral:misc_RNA from 1 species